GGAUUAGAUACCCUGGUAGUCCACGCCCUAAACGAUGUCAACUAGACGUUGGGCUCAUUGAAGAGCUUAGUGUCGAAGCUAACGCGUUAAGUUGACCGCCUGGGGAGUACGGCCGCAAGGUUGAAACUCAAAGGAAUUGACGGGGGCCCGCACAAGCGGUGGAGCAUGUGGUUUAAUUCGAUGCAACGCGAAGAACCUUACCAGCCCUUGACAUCCUCGGAACUUGGCAGAGAUGCCUUGGUGCCUUCGGGAAUCGAGUGACAGGUGCUGCAUGGCUGUCGUCAGCUCGUGCCG
rnacentral:rRNA from 1 species